rnacentral:rRNA from 1 species
UACGAAGGGUGCAAGCGUUAAUCGGAAUUACUGGGCGUAAAGCGUGCGUAGGUGGUUUGUUAAGUCUGCUGUGAAAGCCCUGGGCUCAACCUGGGAAUGGCGGUGGAUACUGACAAGCUAGAGUGCGGUAGAGGAGGGUGGAAUUCCCGGUGUAGCGGUGAAAUGCGUAGAUAUCGUUUGGAACGCCAAUGGUGAAAACAGGUAACUGGGAGUGUGCCGACGCUGAGACACGAAAGCCAGGGGAGCGAACGGG